UGACGGUACCUGACUAAGAAGCCCCGGCUAACUACGUGCCAGCAGCCGCGGUAAUACGUAGGGGGCAAGCGUUAUCCGGAUUUACUGGGUGUAAAGGGAGCGCAGACGGCUUUGCAAGUCUGAUGUGAAAGGCAGGGGCUCAACUCCUGGACUGCAUUGGAAACUGUAGGGCUAGAGUGUCGGAGAGGUAAGCGGAAUUCCUAGUGUAGCGGUGAAAUGCGUAGAUAUUAGGAGGAACACCAGUGGCGAAGGCGGCUUACUGGACGAUCACUGACGUUGAGGCUCGAAAGCGUGGGGAGCAAACAGGAUUAGAUACCCUG
rnacentral:rRNA from 1 species